CCGCGUUUCAAAUUAUCCUUCUCAAUUCGGUCAAAGUCAGCUGCACUACCUCACUAACACUAGUACUUUAGGUACUAAUUAGCAGACAUGAACUGGACAUACUAUACGAACCACUCAAUUCUCAUGUCUGUCAAUGGAUGUAUCAAUCGGUUAAAGUAUAUGCUCGCUAAAUAGGUUUUAAUUGAUAUAAUAUUUAAAUGGUUUAUGGGUAUCAUGGUGGUAUGGAGUGAUAGGG